AGACUCAUGCAGUCUCCGGCAGCAACAGAGAAUUCUACCAUAACCCCAGGCACAGGCUGAGUGAUGGAUGCGAUGGAUGCUGAAUGAUAUGUGACUGAGUGAACCGCAGUGCACUCUGGGAAACCCGGAAGGAGAUGGCUAUCAUGAAAAAUGAUGUUUUUGCCUAUAAUUCAAUAUCCAGAAACUCAUCAGACAGGAAAAUAAGCAAGAAGAUUCUGAAGUCUUUUCUACAUUCGUUUGUGGAGAAAGAGUGGUGUAGCCCAGGGCUGUGUCUGCUUCAAAAUGCAGGGAGAGUCAGCCUACAGUCCAUAAUUAGCACCAUGUCAUUCCAGUGAGAGCCACAGUCCUGUGCCACCCCGUGGGACCCAAGUCCUGAUCAUGAAAAUCCAUGCCUGCACAUCCUCUCUGAAGGACCCGAAAAAGUCCCUUGGAAAGGGCCAUUCAUCCCUCAUAGUGUCUCUCUAGCAUCUGCCUGGUCCACUGUGCCAUAAAAUGAAAUCUCUCUUAAUGAGAAACUGCACCUA
ensembl:lincRNA 4933438B17Rik RIKEN cDNA 4933438B17 gene